rnacentral:rRNA from 1 species
UACAGAGGUCCCAAGCGUUGCUCGGAAUCACUGGGCGUAAAGCGCACGUAGGCGGCUUUUUAAGUCAGGGGUGAAAUCCUGGAGCUCAACUCCAGAACUGCCUUUGAUACUGAGAGCUUGAGUCCGGGAGAGGUGAGUGGAACUGCGAGUGUAGAGGUGAAAUUCGUAGAUAUUCGCAAGAACACCAGUGGCGAAGGCGGCUCACUGGCCCGGUACUGACGCUGAGGUGCGAAAGCGUGGGGAGCAACAGG